GGGAAUCAAUGUCACAGUAAUAACAGAUUAUAAACACGCACAUACACAUAUAUACAAACGGGAGUGAAGUACAAACAGGAGAGUGGAGAAGAUUCAACAGGAAGAACACAGCAUCAGCUGAAGACAAUGAACACAUCUCUGACAAACUGCUACGCCAUGCAUCUGCUUCUGUCCAAACCCAGCGGAGGAGGAGGUGUGGAUGUGAAUGUGAUCUUCGCUGUGAACCUCACCUUCGUGGAGAUCCUGUACUGCCUCGUGGCUCCUCUGUACUGCCCGUGUAUCAUCAGUUUGACGCUGUGUGUUGGCGCUUUGCUGGGUUUUUGGCUCGGCACCUGCAUGAGUGGACGCUAUGUGUUCCAGUGCUUGCUGUGUUUGGAGCAGUACUUGGCCGUCAUUCAUCCCAUGAUCUUCUUAAAGUUCAAACCCAUGCGAUACCGAGUCGGGGUUGCGUCUGCAGCGUGGUUGUUUGUACUGGGAAUCGGAACUGCCUCCAGCUGCAUGUUCCCUGCGGUUCCUUACAGUGCUUUCGGGGCUGUCUACUUCAUCGUCUUCUUUCUUGACUCUUUCUGCUGCCUCUCUGUCCUCAAUGCACUGGUGCGUCCUGGCCCGAGCGAAAAGGACAAUGGGGAGAUGAGUGCCGCCAAAAAGAAGGCCUUCAAAAUCAUCUCCAUGAACCUCACAACGUUUUUGGUUCAGGUUCUCCCGAUAGUCAUCUCAUUUGGCCUCCUCAACACUCUGCCUCCGGAAAGCUUUCACCUGGGCGUGGCCAUCGGUAUGACCAUCAACAUUGCUGGAGGCUUUGUCCAUCCCAUUUAUGUUCUUCACAAAUACAGAAAACUGCCGUAGAUGAAGGACGUAUAGCUGCAGAACACCAUGCAGCAAAUUUCUAAUGCGUCCUAAUGGGCUUAAUGUGUUUCUGAGGGUCUGUAAUGGUAGUUUAGUGGAGUCUGUUGUUCCUAAGGGUUCCUAUUGGACUAAAUGCAUAUUCUUUUGGUCUGUAAUGGUAGUUCAAUUGAAUAUGUUCUUCCUAAUGGUUCUUAAUGGGGUUUAAUGUGUUUCUGAUGGACUGUAAAGGUAGUUUAAUGGAUCGUUUUCUUCCUAGUGCUUCGUUUUCUAAUCUUAUUCUGGUGGUGAUCUACCCAUGAAAAAAGGCUUUAUUGGGUUCUGGUGGUAUUUAAUACUAACCAAGAAAAUUCCUAAUGGAAAACUUUGAGAAUCUAAUGGAAAACAUUAUGCCCAUUUCUAGGUAUCUAUCUAUAUGUCUCUGACCCCGUAUAUCUGUCUGUCCACCUGUCUGUCAAUACUCAUCUGUAUCUCCAUAUGUCUGUCUGUUGUUUCUGUCUAUAUAUUUGUCUCUCUGUCAGACACAGUAACACCACUUAUAUUAUAUUUUGC
ensembl:lncRNA